UGCCAGGUUUGUCAGUUAGUAAAGAGGUAGAAGUGACAGUAGCUGAACACAAAAACGAUGUGAUUUCUUUUUAAUUUGUAUUUUUCUUUUUUCUUUCUUCUUUUUUUUUUUUUUAAAGAAAUACACCCUUAAAAAUGGUUAUCUGAGACUUGACAAAUACCUAUAUGAUUCUGAUUGGAUCCUGGACUGGAAAAGACAUUGGGACAAUUGGUGAAAUUGGACUAUGAACGAUAGAUUAGGUGAUGCUGCGGCUCCUGUGUUGAGGAAGGUGCUGCGGAGGUGUUAGAAGACAUGGGUUUCUGCUCUCUGAACAUCUGCUUCCUAUCCUGCGGGCCUGGCACUGGAGCUCUUUGUUUUUAGAAAUGGACAUGGGCGAGAAAACAGUGUUACUGCGUCCUAAUGACCAGCUGUGCUUCAUCCAGGCCCCUGACACCUUCUGGUCUUUGAAGGAAAAGCCAGGGAAGGGCUGGGAAGGCUUCCUACCCUCUACAGUCCAUUGAGGGCUCACAGCAGCCCAUUUCACAGGUGAGGAAACUGAGGCCCUUGGACAGAUAAGAAGUGAUGGAAGGAGAUGAGGAAGGAGUUCUUUGGUUCAGAAUCAGAAGUGAAGCCAAAGGGGCACAGGUGCCUGAACCAUUGUAUUUGCAGACACAGUGUUUUUUGAGAUCAGAACUUGGACAUGGUGAAGAGACUAGAGUCCAAGACAGGCUUCUUGAUGUGACUGCCCUUCUCCAAGGGCCUUAGAGGGAAAAAGACGUGAGAGGUGGUGUGGGGUCAUGGCUGAGGGUGGGGAGUUCAAGCCCGCAUCUGCCACUUCUCAGCCGCGUGACUAUGGGCAACAUGUGCCUGUGACUCAGUUUUCUCAUCUGUGAAUAGGACGCACCUGGUGGGGCUGUUUUGAGGGUUAAGUGAGCUAUUCCACGAUAGUAAAAGCAGAGAGCAUGGCCCUGCCCCACAGCAGGCACCCACGCAGUGUUGGCGUUAUGGACAAGAGUUCAUUUCUGGUAUUCAGGGUGCACACAAUAUAGAAUGGUUUAUUUUAUAAUUUUGUGGAUUUCUCCCCAAAUCCAUGAGGUGUUUCAGAAUACUUUUUAAUUCUUGAGUGAAAUUAUAAAAAUUGUUACUGUCCUCCA